UCCCCAGGAUUACCCUGUAGAUCCGGACUUGUGAUCACGUCACAACACAAAUCCGAUUUACAGGUUAGGCCUGGGCAA
rnacentral:pre_miRNA from 1 species